rnacentral:rRNA from 1 species
UACGUAGGGGGCAAGCGUUGUCCGGAUUUAUUGGGCGUAAAGGGCGCGUAGGCGGCCUGGCAAGUGGAUGGUGAAAUCCCUCGGCUUAACCGAGGAACUGCCAUCCAGACUGCUUGGCUUGAGACCGGGAGAGGUGAGUGGAAUUCCCAGUGUAGCGGUGAAAUGCGCAGAUAUCAGGAGGAACACCGGUGGCGAAGGCGGGUCUCUGGGCCAUAACUGACGCUGAGGAGCGAAAGCGUGGGUAGCGAACAGG